rnacentral:lncRNA from 1 species
UUUGGACUGAAGCUUGGCGGGCGAGAUCCUCAGUUCCAGGGCGGCCCCGCGGCCGCGAUCCCUGCCUCCACGCCUCCGUAGGACAGAGAGCAGCUCCGGAGCAGGACCUGCGGAAAGUUCUUCUCGUCCCGCCCUGGCUAACUGGACUGCGGCCAUGGCCUGCAGAAGCCAUGAGAGCAAAGGCUGCCUCCCGGCCUGUCCGCGUUGCCUACCCCGAGUUCAAAAGAAACGAUAAUCAUUGCGUUACUUGCCUGGUAGGGCAGGACUUGGCCGAGUCUCGCUUCUGGUGCCCACGACUCGCGGUCCAGAGUCCGAGGGCGGCUGGGCCGGAGGGCUGGGCGUCCAGGGCGCCUCCAGUUCCCUGGAGCUUGCUCUCCUUCCUCCUUCCUCUUCCACUCGCUCCGUAUCUCUCCACGUUCUCUUUGCUUCUCCCUGUCUCCCUCUCUCUCUCUAUCUCUCUAUCUCUGUCUCUCUUUUUGUCUUUUAAUCGUGUUCAUUUCACCUUUUAACUGAUCAGGAGACAUGAGCGCGUUUAUUUGAGGAGAGGAGAGAGGGCAAGGAGCCCUCGCCGGCCCCGGUUGCCUUCUUUCCAUCAGCUGCGUACAAUGGGCCGCCGCUUGCAGAUUGCAUUGACUGUCUCUUCAUUAUUCGAGCUGGAGGGGCUGUGGGGCAGACACGAAAAAGCCUUUAUUCUGCUAUUUAAAAUCGUCGCUCAUCACUAAGCGGUCGCCGACUCCUGACUUGCAGGCUGGAGAGACCGGGAAGCGCAAAACGCACCCCAAACGCGCAGCGCUUCCUAAACCCCUCCCUGAUGAAAUUUAAAGUGAGAACGAGUAUUAAAAAAUAAACCCAACCUCUGUCGAUACAGCGUGGCCAUUUACUCUCACCUUUACCUGAGGGCGUGUUGAGGCUCGGGAUGCUGGAGCUGAGACAAACUUUUACAGUCUCCCGAGUCGAGGGGCGGGAAAAAACACCCCCGGCGACAGCAGCAGCGGCUUUGUCACUCCGCGCCGAUCCGCGCCCGCCUGAGCCUGCCUAGGGGAGCGAUCUCAAAACGAGGGGGGGUGCGAGUGUGCGAUUGGAGAAUAUGUAACUAAUAGAAGUAUCAUUUUCCCCCAGUACGAUCUUUCAAGGAAAAAAAAUCCAUUGAAAGAAUUUUCAAAGUGCUGUCUCCGUUUGGAGAAAAGGCACAGGCUGCCUGCCGGGAGGGGAGGAGGGACCCGACUGUGCGUCUCCCCGGCG